CCUUCCUCUUUUCAUCAGUCUUAACGCCCCAUAAUCUGAUGAGAUUAGAUCUAAGAGAGAGAAAAGAGAGAGAAAGAGAAGAAAAAAGAUUCUUCUUCUCUUCUUGGUAGUCCGAUUCAGAUCCCGUCAGAUUUGCAUGAAAGGAUUCAUGCAGUGUUCAUCUUCUUCGAGUUCUAGAAGAGGAUUCAGAUCCAAAGUUGAGG
rnacentral:lncRNA from 1 species